rnacentral:rRNA from 1 species
GACGAACGCUGGCGGCGUGCUUAACACAUGCAAGUCGAACGGAAAGGCCCUGCUUUUGUGGGGUGCUUGAGUGGCGAACGGGUGAGUAACACGUGAGUAACCUGCCCUUGACUUUGGGAUAACUUCAGGAAACUGGGGCUAAUACCGGAUAGGAGCUCCUGCUGCAUGGUGGGGGUUGGAAAGUUUCGGCGGUUGGGGAUGGACUCGCGGCUUACCAGCUUGUUGGUGGGGUAGUGGCUUACCAAGGCUUUGACGGGUAGCCGGCCUGAGAGGGUGACCGGCCACAUUGGGACUGAGAUACGGACCAGACUCCUACGGGAGGCAGCAGUGGGGAAUAUUGCACAAUGGGCGGAAGCCUGAUGCAGCAACGCCGCGUGCGGGAUGACGGCCUUCGGGUUGUAAACCGCUUUCGCCUGUGACGAAGCGUGAGUGACGGUAAUGGGUAAAGAAGCACCGGCUAACUACGUG